rnacentral:rRNA from 1 species
UACGGGGGGGGCAAGCGUUGUUCGGAAUUACUGGGCGUAAAGGGCUCGUAGGCGGCCAACUAAGUCGGAUGUGAAAUCCCCAGGCUUAACCUGGGAAUUGCAUCCGAUACUGGAUGGCUUGAAUCCGGGAGAGGGAUGCGGAAUUCCAGGUGUAGCGGUGAAAUGCGUAGAUAUCUGGAGGAACACCGGUGGCGAAGGCGGCAUCCUGGACCGGCAUUGACGCUGAGGAGCGAAGGCCAGGGGAGCAAACGGG